CAGCAGCCGCGGUAAUACGUAGGUGGCAAGCGUUGUCCGGAAUUAUUGGGCGUAAAGCGCGCGCAGGCGGUCCUUUAAGUCUGAUGUGAAAGCCCCCGGCUCAACCGGGGAGGGUCAUUGGAAACUGGGGGACUUGAGUGCAGGAGAGGGAAGUGGAAUUCCACGUGUAGCGGUGAAAUGCGUAGAGAUGUGGAGGAACACCAGUGGCGAAGGCGGCUUCCUGGCCUGUAACUGACGCUGAGGCGCGAAAGCGUGGGGAGCAAACAGGAUUAGAUACCCUGGUAGUCCACGCCGUAAACGAUGAGUGCUAAGUGUUAGGGGGUUUCCGCCCCUUAGUGCUGCAGCUAACGCAUUAAGCACUCCGCCUGGGGAGUACGGCCGCAAGGCUGAAACUUAAAGGAAUUGGCGGG
rnacentral:rRNA from 1 species